rnacentral:rRNA from 1 species
GGCUCACCAAGGCAACGAUACGUAGCCGACCUGAGAGGGUGAUCGGCCACACUGGAACUGAGACACGGUCCAGACUCCUACGGGAGGCAGCAGUAGGGAAUCUUCCGCAAUGGGCGAAAGCCUGACGGAGCAACGCCGCGUGAGUGAUGAAGGUCUUCGGAUCGUAAAGCUCUGUUGUUAGGGAAGAACAAAUGUGUAAGUAACUAUGCACAUCUUGACGGUACCUAACCAGAAAGCCACGGCUAACUACGUGCCAGCAGCCGCGGUAAUACGUAGGUGGCAAGCGUUAUCCGGAAUUAUUGGGCGUAAAGCGCGCGUAGGCGGUUUUUUAAGUCUGAUGUGAAAGCCCACGGCUCAACCGUGGAGGGUCAUUGGAAACUGGAAAACUUGAGUGCAGAAGAGGAAAGUGGAAUUCCAUGUGUAGCGGUGAAAUGCGCAGAGAUAUGGAGGAACACCAGUGGCGAAGGCGGCUUUCUGGUCUGUAACUGACGCUGAUGUGCGAAAGCGUGGGGAUCAAACAGGAUUAGAUACCCUGGUAGUCCACGCCGUAAACGAUGAGUGCUAAGUGUUAGGGGGUUUCCGCCCCUUAGUGCUGCAGCUAACGCAUUAAGCACUCCGCCUGGGGAGUACGGUCGCAAGACUGAAACUCAAAGGAAUUGACGGGGACCCGCACAAGCGGUGGAGCAUGUGGUUUAAUUCGAAGCAACGCGAAGAACCUUACCAAAUCUUGACAUCUUUUGACCACUCUAGAGAUAGAGUUUUCCUCUUCGGAGGACAAAAUGACAGGUGGUGCAUGGUUGUCGUCAGCUCGUGUCGUGAGAUGUUGGGUUAAGUCCCGCAACGAGCGCAACCCUUGAGCUUAGUUGCCAUCAUUAAGUUGGGCACUCUAAGUUGACUGCCGGUGACAAACCGGAGGAAGGUGGGGAUGACGUCAAAUCAUCAUGCCCCUUAUGAUUUGGGCUACACACGUGCUACAAUGGACAAUACAAAGGGCAGCAAAACCGCGAGGUCAAGCAAAUCCCAUAAAGUUGUUCUCAGUUCGGAUUGUAGUCUGCAACUCGACUACAUGAAGCUGGAAUCGCUAGUAAUCGUAGAUCAGCAUGCUACGGUGAAUACGUUCCCGGGUCUUGUACACACCGCCCGUCACACCACGAGAGUUUGUAACACCCGAAGCCGGUGGAGUAACCAUUUGGAGCUAGCCGUCGAAGGUGGGACAAAUGAUUGGGGUGAAGUCGUAACAAGGUAGCCGUAUCGGAAGGUGCGGCUGGAUCACCUCCUUU